GUUGUCAAUUUUAUUUUUUAGCCAGUAAAGUAGUAAGAAAACCUCUCUUUGAAUCUAAGUUUCCUUCACAGCUGGAUUGAUUCCUUUAACAUUCACUGUUCUACAUUUCCUCUUUAAUCAUCAUUAAACUCAGUUUACUUUUGUGGGUAGUUGCCAAAUCUUGGAUUUUAUACUCAAUACUAUUGUUUCAAGAUAAUCAAACUAAACUAUUUCUGGAGAUUACAGUAUCUAAAGCCUACGCCUUUGAGUUCUACUGAUUCCAUUUCCUUGUUAAAGCUUAUCUUUCCCAGCUACAAGAUUCUUUUUUUUUUUUUUUUCCUUUUCUCUCCUUUCUAUCCUUUUCCCCCUAUUUCUUGUGUUAAUUUCUUUGUUGGGUCCUGGCUGCUGGGUUAAUGAGUUCUUCUGGUGGGUCUUCUUUGUUGUUCUGAACGAAAGGCAGUGAUAAUUAGAGUGUGUGUGGAGAUUUCUUGCUAAGAAAAUGAAGUCACACACUUCACUGCAAUUUCUCUUUGUGAUUUAUCUGGUUAUUUCUGUGACCUGUGAGUCAUUUCCGAAAGAUGAAGUUUGGGCACUAAUAACGUUCAAAGAAGCUAUAUUUGAAGACCCAAUUCUGGUUAUGUCCAAUUGGAACGCCAUAGAUGCAGAUCCCUGUGAAUGGCCUGGUGUUUCUUGUUCUGUUGCUCGUGACCAUGUUGUGAAGAUAAACAUAACUCAGUCUGCUAUCAAGGGAUUUCUUCCCCCGGAGUUGGGUCGGAUUACACACUUGCAAGAACUAAUCUUGCAUGGUAAUAAGCUGAUUGGUUCUAUCCCGAAAGAGCUGGGCAUGUUGAAGUACCUCGAGGUUUUGGAUUUGGGAGUGAAUCAACUAACUGGUCCUAUUCCUCCAGAAAUAGCUAAUCUGAGCAGUGUUAUGAGAAUAAACCUUCAGUCCAAUGGGUUAACAGGGCAUUUGCCCCCUGAACUUGGCAAUUUGAAGCACCUUGAGGAACUUCGGCUGGAUCGUAAUAAACUUCAAGGAACUGUUCCUGCAGGCGGCAAUUCAGAUUUCCCAUCUAAUGUACACGGCAAGUAUGCAUCAAGCACAAAUUCAACUGGCUUGUGUCGGGCAACUCAGUUGAAAGUAGCAGAUUUGUCAUACAACUUUUUUGUUGGGAGUAUACCUAAGUGCUUGAAGUAUCUUCCAAACACAAGCUUUCAAGGGAACUGCCUCCAAAGUAAAGAUCUUAAACAGCGUUCAUUUGCUCAAUGUGGUGGUGCACCACCUGCCAAAACCCAUCAAGCAUUCAACCCUAAGCACCAGCCUUCUGAAGAUGUAGCCAAGCAACAUCAGGAGGCAUCAAAACCAGCCUGGCUUUUGGCUUUGGAAAUUGUAACAGGAACCAUGGUGGGAUUACUUUUCCUUGUUGCUGUUCUAACUGCUUUCCAGAGAUGCAAUAACAAAUCUUCUAUCAUAAUCCCAUGGAAGAAAUCAGCAAGCCAGAAUGACUAUACAGCAGUGUACAUAGAUUCUGAGCUAUUGAAAGAUGUAGUAAGAUUCAGCAGACAAGACCUUGAAGUUGCCUGUGAAGACUUCAGCAACAUUAUUGGUUCUUCUCCAGACAGUCUGGUCUACAAGGGAACAAUGAAAGGUGGGCCUGAGAUUGCUGUUAUAUCCCUCUGCAUUAAAGAAGAACACUGGACAGGCUAUCUUGAGCUCUAUUUCCAGAAAGAGGUGGCAGAUUUGGCAAGAUUAAAUCAUGAGAAUACGGGAAGAUUACUUGGCUAUUGUAGAGAGAGCACUCCAUUUACACGGAUGCUGGUUUUUGAAUACGCAUCAAAUGGGACAUUGUAUGAGCACUUACAUUAUGGAGAAGGAUGCCAGUUAUCUUGGACACGACGAAUGAAAAUUGUAAUAGGCAUUGCUCGUGGUCUCAAAUAUCUUCACACAGAGCUUGAUCAGCCAUUUACCAUAUCUGAGCUAAAUUCUAGUUCUGUAUAUCUCACUGAAGAUUUUUCUCCCAAGAUUCAAAAUCUUUUCACCGUCUGUUACAGCUGGUUGAUUUUGAAAGUUGGAAGAGUAUUCUUUCAAGAUCAGAAAAGAACUCGGGUUCCAUAGGCAGCCAAGGUGCUAUUUGUGUACUUCCAAAUUCUAUGGAGGGACGCCAUCUUGAUGUCCAAGGCAAUGUAUAUGCGUUUGGCGUGCUUCUACUGGAAAUAAUCAGCGGGAGACCUCCUUACUGUGAGGACAAAGGAUGCUUGGUAGAUUGGGCCAAGGACUUUCUUGAAUUGCCAGAAGUAAUGUCUUAUGUGGUGGAUCCAGAGUUGAAACAUUUCACAUAUGAUGACCUCAAAGUUAUAUGUGAAGUGGUAAGCCUAUGCAUCCAGCCGGAACCCGCGAAGCGACCAUCGAUGCAAGAAGUAAGCAGCAUGUUGGAAAGCAAAAUUGACACGUCUGUGUCCCUUGAGUUGAAGGCAUCUUCUUUAGCAUGGGCGGAGCUUGCACUGUCUUCAUGACUUGAGUUGGAGGCAUGAGGCUAAUACACUGUACAUCAGCUAUAUACUUCUGUAAUACUUAAUUUUCUUUUAUAAGCUUAAGAGUUUUAUUUUUGCCCUUGUAAAUGUUAGCGUGGUAAAAGAAAUAGAGCUUCUUGCAUGACUAAGUCUGCUGCCUUAUGUAUACUAUUGAAUGAUGAGUAAAGUUAUUAAUCACCAAAUAUUUGAUUUUACUUGUUA